rnacentral:rRNA from 1 species
CCCUUAGAUGUUCUGGGCCGCACACGCGCUACACUGAAGGAGGCAGCGUGUACUCCUGGAUCGAAAGAUUUGGGUAACCCGCGAAUCUCCUUCGUGCUAGGGAUUGAGGUUUGCAAUUAUCCUUCAUGAACGAGGAAUUCCCAGUAAGUGCAAGUCAUAAGCUUGCGCUGACUACGUCCCUGCCCUUUGUACACACCGCCCGUCGCUCCUACCGAUUGGAUGAUCCGGUGAGCUAUUCGGACCUUCGCUUCGUCGAUUUUCGGCUUUGUGAGGGAAAGUCUCGCGAACCUUAUCAUCUAGAGGAAGGAGAAGUCGUAACA